rnacentral:rRNA from 1 species
GACAGAGGGGGCAAGCGUUGCUCGGAAUCACUGGGCGUAAAGGGCGCGUAGGCGGCAUCGCAAGUCGGAUGUGAAAUCUUAUGGCUUAACCAUAAAAGUGCAUCCGAAACUGCAGUGCUUGAGUACUUAAGAGGAUCGCGGAAUUCCCGGUGUAGAGGUGAAAUUCGUAGAUAUCGGGAGGAACACCAGUGGCGAAGGCGGCGAUCUGGGAAGAUACUGACGCUGAGGUGCGAAAGCGUGGGGAGCAACAGG